rnacentral:rRNA from 1 species
UACGGCCUACGGGACGCAGCAGUGGGGAAUAUUGGGCAAUGGACGCAAGUCUGACCCAGCAACGCCGCGUGAAGGAAGAAGGCUUUCGGGUUGGAAACUUCUUUUAAGGGGGAAGAGCAGCAGACGGUACCCCUUGAAUAAGCCACGGCUAACUACGUGCCAGCAGCCGCGGCAAUCCGUAGGUGGCAAGCGUUGUCCGGAUUUACUGGGUGUAAUGGGCGUGCAGCCGGAGAGACAAGUCAGAUGUGAAAUCCACGGGCUCAA